AUAAAAAUGGAGCAACCCAAUUGCACUUGGCAGCCCGACAAGGAUGGCCGGGGUGCGUUCAUAUGUUGUUAGACAGUGGGGCUCUUGUUUGUGCAUCUUCUAGAGGAUAUGGGUAAAACUCUCUUAUUGAAGGUUUUCUAGUUUCGUGGGGGUUCAUUGGAUUGUGUUCGGGAAUUACUUGCUUGGGGGGCUGAUAGACUUCAUAGAGAUUCAUCUGGGAGGAUACCUUACAUGGUUGCUUUGAGG